rnacentral:sRNA from 22 species
UUCCAGCCCUGAUGGAAGCGGAAAUCCUUUUGCUUUUUCCUUUAAAAAGCAAAAGAUUGCAGCGUACAGCAGGAACCAAU